rfam:Oryzias latipes DNA, chromosome12, strain: Hd-rR.
CAGAGCUGUGGAGUGUGACAAUGGUGUUUGUUUCCUGCCUAUCAAACGCCAUUAUCACACUAAAUAGCUACAG